rnacentral:rRNA from 1 species
AUUGAACGCUGGCGGCAGGCCUAACACAUGCAAGUCGAACGGUAACAGGAAGCAGCUUGCUGCUUCGCUGACGAGUGGCGGACGGGUGAGUAAUGUCUGGGAAACUGCCUGAUGGAGGGGGAUAACUACUGGAAACGGUAGCUAAUACCGCAUAACGUCGCAAGACCAAAGAGGGGGACCUUAGGGCCUCUUGCCAUCGGAUGUGCCCAGAUGGGAUUAGCUAGUAGGUGGGGUAACGGCUCACCUAGGCGACGAUCCCUAGCUGGUCUGAGAGGAUGACCAGCCACACUGGAACUGAGACACGGUCCAGACUCCUACGGGAGGCAGCAGUGGGGAAUAUUGCACAAUGGGCGCGAGCCUGAUGCAGCCAUGCCGCGUGUAUGAAGAAGGCCUUCGGGUUGUAAAGUACUUUCAGCGGGGAGGAAGGGAGUAAAGUUAAUACCUUUGCUCAUUGACGUUACCCGCAGAAGAAGCACCGGCUAACUCCGUG